AUACGUGUAGGGUGGAGAUGCACAACCGUCGGACCGUGUAGCAUUAGGCUUAUAAGACGCUUCAUCUCGUCCACAGUCGCCGGUUGAUUCCUCCUCCUGACCUUAGCUUUUGUUGAAGUGGUGCCUUUGUCACCACCGCUAACAAGCAGGACGCGUCCGUCGCGAUACCGGCCCAAUUGGCUCGUUAUUGCUGGACACUGGAGUGGCCAACCACUCUUGACGCACCUGACACCGACCGUGAGAAGUCGUGUGUGCCGAACGCCGUUUCCGGCAGCCCGGAAACCGA
rnacentral:ncRNA from 1 species